UACGAAGGGGGCUAGCGUUGCUCGGAAUUACUGGGCGUAAAGCGCACGUAGGCGGUCUUUUAAGUCGGGGGUGAAAUCCUGGAGCUCAACUCCAGAACUGCCUUCGAUACUGGAAGACUUGAGUCCGGGAGAGGUGAGUGGAACUGCGAGUGUAGAGGUGAAAUUCGUAGAUAUUCGCAAGAACACCAGUGGCGAAGGCGGCUCACUGGGUCAUUACUGACGCUGAGGCACGAAAGCGUGGGGAGCGAACGGG
rnacentral:rRNA from 1 species